CGGCGCUCGGCUCGCUGAGCUCGUCCGGGACGCAGAAAACCGGAGCUGGCCGGGUCCCGGUCCCUGUCCCGUCAACAUUAUCAGCAAGAAGAGAGAAUAUUGGCCCUCGGUUACCGCCAACCACAUGAUCUGAAGUGUAGGCACGGCAGCUUUUCUGAGAAAAAAAGUCACAAACAUGACCUCGCGAUUAUCCCCAACUAGCUAUGUGCCUGAGAGUGACCCGGGACAAGGGCUUCAUGCAGGGUUUACACGGUCUGGACGCCUGGGCGGCAAACUUUAACGCUUAUUAGGUGUCUUCGGUGGAUAGAGCCUGGGGGCCAGGGCAGGAGUGGGCAAGUGACACAAAGAAGUGGAAGGAUUCCCUUCCCUGGGGAACCACUGCUUGCAGCCCCGACUCGGCUGUGUGGAUGCGUAAGUGGAGGCCAGGAGGCUGCAGCUCAAGAUCCCCACCCGGGAAGCAGUCAGCUGAACCCGGUUUGCCUGUGCCCGGGCCAGACGGUGAAACUCCCUGUGGCCUCAGCACAAGGGGCACCACCAGCUAUUGCCCAGCCCUGCCCCGUGGCAACGCCGCUUCCUCACUCACUAGGCGGUGGAGAUUUCCACGAGGGAAAAGCCACCAAAUCAUCAGAUGACAUUUUUCAGAUUGAAUCAGAAAAGUCUGCAGAGGGGAAAAGCCCUGUGUGCUGGGUGUCACCUAGCCCAGCAGGAAGCGAUGGAUUCAGGGACCCCUGCUUGGCUGAAAAUAGAAUCGUAAAAAAUAAAGGGGGUGGGGGAGAAAGUGGACGGAAGUAAUCCUAUUAAACGUGGUCGGAGGUUU